rnacentral:lncRNA from 1 species
AGAGAUAGAGUUUCUUGUGCAGCUCCAAUGGAGAAGGGGACGCUCGGGCCUUGAACGUUCCCGAGAGCCGCCCGCGGCCGCUGCCGUGCGCCGAGAGCCGCGGAGUGGAGCCCCCAAAGGCGCAGCCGGAGUGGUGCGGGGCCGGGCCGGGCUCCGCCGGCGGGGAGAAGGGCGGCGGGCGGCGGCGGUGCCGGGGUGAGCGGCCUUUUCGCUGCUGCUGCGGCUCUGGCCCUGCCCGAGCACGGGCACCGCGGCUCCGGGCUGGAGUUAGCGAGGGGUCCGGGCUCGGCCGGGGUCCGCAGGGCGCUCAGGCUGUCUGCAGCUACAGGGGAAAGUGCCCCGGCGGUGCGGGUACGGGCUCCGCUUCUGCGGAGCUUAUUGCGGGCAGCAGCGCGGCUGUACGUGUGUAUCCGUGCCGUGUUGUUGUGUGUUUCAGGUCGAUAAAUAAAUGUGUAAUAGUUAAUGUGCAGACACAUCAGAGUAAUAACAAUGGGAUGAAAUCAAAGGAUUAUCAAUCUCUGUUAGUAACUGCUGAAUAACAAUGUUGCAGUGUGAUUGAUAGCGCGCUUCAUUUUAUGACUUUUCUAUUGCUCUUGAUUUUUAUAGCAGUAUAAACAAACUAAAUCAUUUCUUCCAAGACUUCAGAGCGCAAUCGUCUUAGGGGAAGGGGGGAAAUCAGAGAAGGAAGUCCGCGUGAGGGAAAAGGGAGAGCGGGGCUGACGCUUAAGCGUGUCAGAGAAAAAAAAAAAAAAAAAUGACAAUGGGGUAUAUGUAAAAAUCUCUAAUCACAUUCCGCUUCCGCACACUCUUGUUUUGUCAAGUGCCUGAAUUCACCUGGGCAGCGCUGGAGAUGUAUUUACAAGGAUUUUAUUUCCCGUCAUCUUUCCAUUUUCCCAGCGUAGCCAGAAAACUGCCAGUCAAGUCCAUUCCCUGUUAUAAUUUACGGUAUUCCCCACAUGAUCGUAGGAACUGAAGUUCUUAACAAGGAAAAGCUUUAGCGCAAUGGCCCAAAAUCUUCAGAGUGACAAGAGUGUCUUCAGAAAUCACUUCAGAGCAAAGUAAAA